GAUGAACGCUGGCGGCAUGCUUAACACAUGCGAGUCGAACGGGAAGUGGUGUUUCCAGUGGCGAACGGGUGAGUAACGCGUAAGAACCUGCCAUUGGGAGGGGAACAACAACUGGAAACGGUUGCUAAUACCCCGUAGGCUGAGGAGCAAAAGGAGAAAUCCGCCCAAGGAGGGGCUCGCGUCUGAUUAGCUAGUUGGUGAGGUAAUAGCUUACCAAGGCGAUGAUCAGUAGCUGGUCCGAGAGGAUGAUCAGCCACACUGGGACUGAGACACGGCCCAGACUCCUACGGGAGGCAGCAGUGGGGAAUUUUCCGCAAUGGGCGAAAGCCUGACGGAGCAAUGCCGCGUGGAGGUGGAAGGCCUACGGGUCGUCAACUUCUUUUCUCGGAGAAGAAACAAUGACGGUAUCUGAGGAAUAAGCAUCGGCUAACUCUGUG
rnacentral:rRNA from 1 species